rnacentral:rRNA from 4 species
AAAUUGAAGAGUUUGAUCAUGGCUCAGAUUGAACGCUGGCGGCAGGCCUAACACAUGCAAGUCGAACGGUAACAGAAAGCAGCUUGCUGCUUUGCUGACGAGUGGCGGACGGGUGAGUAAUGUCUGGGAAACUGCCUGAUGGAGGGGGAUAACUACUGGAAACGGUGGCUAAUACCGCAUAACGUCGCAAGACCAAAGAGGGG